rnacentral:rRNA from 1 species
GAUAAACGCUGGCGGCGUGCCUAAUGCAUGCAAGUCGAACGGGGGAUGGAGCUUCGGCUCCAUCUCUAGUGGCAGACGGGUGAGUAACGCGUAAGUAACCCAUCCCCGAGUGGGGGAUAACCCCGAGAAAUCGGGGCUAAUACCGCAUAAUGUGGGAGACCACCAAAGCCUUUGGGUGCUUAGGGAGGGGCUUGCGUCCGAUUAGCUAGUUGGUAGGGUAAGGGCCUACCAAGGCUAAGAUCGGUAGCUGGUCUGAGAGGAUGGUCAGCCACACUGGGACUGAGACACGGCCCAGACUCCUACGGGAGGCAGCAGCAGGGGAUAUUGCGCAAUGGGCGAAAGCCUGACGCAGCAACGCCGCGUGGGGGAAGAAGGCCUUCGGGUUGUAAACCCCUUUUCUCGGGGAAGAAGUAAGUGACGGUACCCGAGGAAUAAGUCUCGGCUAACUACGUG